rnacentral:rRNA from 1 species
UACAGAGGUCUCAAGCGUUGUUCGGAAUUACUGGGCGUAAAGGGCUCGUAGGCGGCCAACUAAGUCAGACGUGAAAUCCCUCGGCUUAACCGGGGAACUGCAUCUGAUACUGGAUGGCUUGAGUUCGGGAGAGGGAUGCGGAAUUCCAGGUGUAGCGGUGAAAUGCGUAGAUAUCGAGAGGAACACCUGCGGCGAAGGCGGGUUGCUGGGCUGACACUGACGCUGAUGCGCGAAAGCCAGGGGAGCGAACGGG